GGGAUGUUGUGGCGGCGGAGGAGUCUCGGAAGACACUGGGAGGUUAGGCAACGCGUCUCUUUGAGGUGGUACCGUGUGUGCCCAUGUGCCCACCUCUCGCUUGCGUUCUCUUCUGUGGUGUAUCAGCACUGUUUACGAGGGAUGCAUGAUUUGAGAAUCUCCAUUUGGUCUUUGAGCCUGUCUGUUCUGUGACCCCUGGGAUAGCUUGGCUGGCAGUGUACUUGGAGGCCACCAUUGCAUCAAGGGAUAUAUUUUCAGAUGCCUAAGGCCAUAUACUGAAUAUGCUGGUGUGAACAUCUCUGAUGGGAAGGACAAUGUAAAUGAGAAUGGACAGAGAGAGACAGAGCAUGAACGGGGGAGGGGCAGAGAGAGAGGA